rnacentral:rRNA from 1 species
UACGGAGGGGGCUAGCGUUGUUCGGAAUUACUGGGCGUAAAGCGCACGUAGGCGGCUUCGCAAGUCAGGGGUGAAAGCCCUGGGCUUAACCCCGGAACUGCCUUUGAGACUGCGUCGCUUGAAUCCGGGAGAGGCGGGUGGAAUUUCGAGUGUAGAGGUGAAAUUCGUAGAUAUUUGGAGGAACACCAGUGGCGAAGGCGGCCCGCUGGACCGGUAUUGACGCUGAGGUGCGAAAGCGUGGGGAGCAAACAGG